GUGCCCAACGUGGGGCAGAGCUAGAGGUCCCUCAUAUUGAGGGAACUUGCCCCCUCUGAUGGCAUCUCGCUACGGUAUUGAACUGUAAGCGCCAGAGACUCCCAGGGACUGUAUAGGGAUAGGGGGUCCACAACUGGCAAGCUCCAUAACACCUAGUCUGACGACUGACAGAGUUGUUUCUUCCACAGAAACCUAUCUGCUUUCAGGGAUGGCAGAUGUAUCCGAAACAGGGGUCAUCGUGGUCCCUCAGACAGUCAGUCGCCCGGCAAGAGACCAAAUUCCGUCCCUUCCAUCAACGCAGCUGAAUCCCAUCAAAGAUAUCAGUGGAAGGUCCUACCACAAGGCAUGAAGAACAGUCCUUCUCUAUGUCGGCGUUUUGUGGUCGACCUCUUGUCACCGUUGAGAAGAUAAUUUUCUGAGACUUUCUGUUACCACUAUAUGGACAAUUUACUUCUGUCAGCCUUGUCCUCCCAAAAUUUAACUGCACUAGCACAAGCUACUAUUUCCGCUCUACAGCUACUAUUU